GAUAAACCGUACCGAGCACCGACGACCGAAAUACCGUAUGGUGGACCACCUGUUGUUGUCUUGUUGACGUCUCAGAAUCUUAACCACGGUUAAAGAAUUAUCCAAGUUCAUGCUAUGAAGUAAUUGAAUAAGUUUUACUAUAUGUAUUCGUUUCUACUUUUCAUCCUUAAAAUUAAUAACCCGUUUCAUGAAAAGUCCAAAUUCGUAUUGAACGGGAAGAUAUGCAGAAUUCCUACGACCAUAACGUAUUUAAAUCAUAAACGAUUUUAUGCUACGAUGGACCAUCGACAAUAGUAUGACAAUUGUGUAUCUAUCCAUAUCUAUAUAAGUAUAUUACAGCUCUGGAGAAUUGUUUUGUGCUAAAGCAGUUAUAAAGCUUGAAAUAAAAUGGCAGUCAAGAUAAAUUGUUAUUGAUACUUCAUUAAGAACAAAUUGAACAAAAUUUGAAGUGGUGUUUUUCACAAACAGCAAUAUUUUCAGAUAUACAGAAAUAAACAUAAAUCGGGAGGAAUGACUACAGUGGUCUACUGAUGAAGAAGUAUGAAUCAACAGGCGUCCACAAGAGAACCGAUCACUUAUAUGAUUUCAGUGGAUUAUAUUACACAAAUAUAGUAAUAUAAUAUAAUAUAAUAUUGAACUCACUGACUAUACUAUAUUGAGUA